GAUGAACGCUGGCGGCGUGCCUAAUACAUGCAAGUCGAGCGAACGGACGAGAAGCUUGCUUCUCUGAUGUUAGCGGCGGACGGGUGAGUAACACGUGGAUAACCUACCUAUAAGACUGGGAUAACUUCGGGAAACCGGAGCUAAUACCGGAUAAUAUUUUGAGCCGCAUGGUUCAAAAGUGAAAGACGGUCUUGCUGUCACUUAUAGAUGGAUCCGCGCUGCAUUAGCUAGUUGGUAAGGUAACGGCUUACCAAGGCAACGAUGCAUAGCCGACCUGAGAGGGUGAUCGGCCACACUGGAACUGAGACACGGUCCAGACUCCUACGGGAGGCAGCAGUAGGGAAUCUUCCGCAAUGGGCGAAAGCCUGACGGAGCAACGCCGCGUGAGUGAUGAAGGUCUUCGGAUCGUAAAACUCUGUUAUUAGGGAAGAACAUAUGUGUAAGUAACUGUGCACAUCUUGACGGUACCUAAUCAGAAAGCCACGGCUAACUACGUGCCAGCAGCCGCGGUAAUACGUAGGUGGCAAGCGUUAUCCGGAAUUAUUGGGCGUAAAGCGCGCGUAGGCGGUUUUUUAAGUCUGAUGUGAAAGCCCACGGCUCAACCGUGGAGGGUCAUUGGAAACUGGAAAACUUGAGUGCAGAAGAGGAAAGUGGAAUUCCAUGUGUAGCGGUGAAAUGCGCAGAGAUAUGGAGGAACACCAGUGGCGAAGGCGACUUUCUGGUCUGUAACUGACGCUGAUGUGCGAAAGCGUGGGGAUCAAACAGGAUUAGAUACCCUGGUAGUCCACGCCGUAAACGAUGAGUGCUAAGUGUUAGGGGGUUUCCGCCCCUUAGUGCUGCAGCUAACGCAUUAAGCACUCCGCCUGGGGAGUACGACCGCAAGGUUGAAACUCAAAGGAAUUGACGGGGACCCGCACAAGCGGUGGAGCAUGUGGUUUAAUUCGAAGCAACGCGAAGAACCUUACCAAAUCUUGACAUCCUUUGACAACUCUAGAGAUAGAGCUUUUCCCUUCGGGGGACAAAGUGACAGGUGGUGCAUGGUUGUCGUCAGCUCGUGUCGUGAGAUGUUGGGUUAAGUCCCGCAACGAGCGCAACCCUUAAGCUUAGUUGCCAUCAUUAAGUUGGGCACUCUAAGUUGACUGCCGGUGACAAACCGGAGGAAGGUGGGGAUGACGUCAAAUCAUCAUGCCCCUUAUGAUUUGGGCUACACACGUGCUACAAUGGACAAUACAAAGGGCAGCGAAACCGUGAGGUCAAGCAAAUCCCAUAAAGUUGUUCUCAGUUCGGAUUGUAGUCUGCAACUCGACUACAUGAAGCUGGAAUCGCUAGUAAUCGUAGAUCAGCAUGCUACGGUGAAUACGUUCCCGGGUCU
rnacentral:rRNA from 1 species